rnacentral:rRNA from 1 species
CGAGUCUUAACUGGGCGAAUGAGUUGCAGGGUAUAGACCCGAAACCCGGUGAUCUAUCCAUGGGCAGGUUGAAGGUUGGGUAACACUAACUGGAGGACCGAACCGACUAAUGUUGAAAAAUUAGCGGAUGACUUGUGGAUGGGGGUGAAAGGCCAAUCAAACCGGGAGAUAGCUGGUUCUCCCCGAAAGCUAUUUAGGUAGCGCCUCGUGAACUCAUCUUCGGGGGUAGAGCACUGUUUCGACUAGGGGGUCAUCCCGACUUACCAACUCGAUGCAAACUGCGAAUACCGAAGAAUGUUAUCACGGGAGACACACGGCGGGUGCUAACGUCCGUCGUGAAGAGGGAAACAACCCAGACCGCCAGCUAAGGUCCCAAAGUCAUGGUUAAGUGGGAAACGAAGUGGGAAGGCUCAGACAGCCAGGAUGUUGGCUUAGAAGCAGCCAUCAUUUAAAGAAAGCGUAAUAGCUCACUGGUCGAGUCGGCCCGCGCGGAAGAUGUAACGGGGCUAAACCAUGCAC